AUUUCUGAUGAGUGAAAGAGUAAAAUAACAAUCCUUUGUAAUCGGGUCAUUUGUAAAGGGUUUCUAAAAGAUAUUUUGCGCCGAAAGCGAAGAAAUGUUAUGGAACAAAACUGGGAUAGAGAAAAAAUGGGAAAGAAAUGGCUAUGUACGUAAAAAUAUACAAGGAAAAUCGAAAAAUUUCGAUAAUGGCACAUCCGCCAUGAUAACGGCUUCAUACUUAUUCGGCUUUCAGGGGCAUUCUUUCCCUCAAUUCUACGCCUUAUUGUGACAUUGUAUCAACGAAGAGGGUAAUAAAUAUUUCCUUUGAGAAAGUUGGAUAGAAACGGAUAAUUUUUAGGAGCUGUAAGGUGAAAAAUAUAUACUAUCUGAUAUUGACAUAGCAACGUGAUCCAUUGUGUAUGAUUUGUUUCUAUAUAAAUAAAUUCACAUGAAAGCUGUAUACAAUCUCUGUCGUCAAGCAAUAAACUAUAUAACUCAAAUGUGAAAAAUCAAGAAAAGAUCUAUCUUCCUCAAUGUUUCAUGUCCACUGUG